UCAAAUAUAGUUUAUAUUUAAAAAAUAUUAGUUUUGGAGAUUAAAGAUGUAUUACUACUGUUUGAA
rnacentral:tRNA from 1 species